AUACAUGCAAGUCGAACGAGAUUAUCCAGCUUGCUGGAUUUGAAAGUGGCGCACGGGUGCGUAACGCGUAUGCAACCUACCUUAAUCAGGGGGAUAGCCCGGAGAAAUCCGGAUUAACACCGCAUAAAAACACAGGAUAGCAUUAUCCAAUGUUCAAAUAUUUAUAGGAUUGAGAUGGGCAUGCGUGUCAUUAGCUAGUUGGCGGGGUAACGGCCCACCAAGGCGACGAUGACUAGGGGAUCUGAGAGGAUGACCCCCCACACUGGUACUGAGACACGGACCAGACUCCUACGGGAGGCAGCAGUAAGGAAUAUUGGUCAAUGGAGGCAACUCUGAACCAGCCAUGCCGCGUGCAGGAAGACUGCCCUAUGGGUUGUAAACUGCUUUUAUCCGGGAAUAAACCUCUUUACGAGUAGAGAGCUGAAUGUACCGGAAGAAUAAGGAUCGGCUAACUCCGUGCCAGCAGCCGCGGUAAUACGGAGGAUCCAAGCGUUAUCCGGAUUUAUUGGGUUUAAAGGGUGCGUAGGCGGCCUGUUAAGUCAGGGGUGAAAGACGGUAGCUCAACUAUCGCAGUGCCCUUGAUACUGAUGGGCUUGAAUGGACUAGAGGUAGGCGGAAUGAGACAAGUAGCGGUGAAAUGCAUAGAUAUGUCUCAGAACACCGAUUGCGAAGGCAGCUUACUAUGG
rnacentral:rRNA from 1 species